AUUUUACCACCCCUAAAUUAGCCCCUGUCGAUGGGCCUCUCAUAACCGGCAUUGGGGUAUAAAAAGGUUCGGCGGUCCAAGAACGUUCGAUCGCACCGACACCAGCUGAUCCGGAAUCAAGAAGUUUGGGGCAAGGAGGCCAAAAGAAAUUUAAUUAAUUCAAAAUUGUAAACAAUGGACCUAUCAAAAGUUAUCAUUUGCAGUAUUCUGUGCAUUUCUUUAAUGGUGGUUCUGUCUGAAUCAGCACCUUUAGACCAUGCUUUGUCCAAGAGACAUGCGCCCGUGGGAUCACAAAAAGAGGUUGUGAAAUCUAGAAGAAGGCGUGGACUCGGUAGAAACGUUCGAAUCCGUCAGAUGUACGUUUGUCUCAGGCUUAUACGGGAUAUUGCAGAUCAUCGAAACUUUGACGACAGUUUCCUGCCCUCCUAUUGUAAACCUUUAUAUUGUGCUCAGUUGGCAAGGAAUAGGGCAAAUUCUUACCCUUCAUUCUGCACACAGGGAAAUAUUGCAAUUACCGUGAUACAAAAGUAACUUAUUUAGCUAGUUAGAUAUUUAUAAUAAAUUCAAAAAGACAAUGUAAAAUCCAAAGAACAAGGCCUGCACUCCGUCGGUGACUUUCAGAUUAACCGUCCACAAUCCAUGAAUUUAAUGACUUUGCAAGAUGACGCAAAAGUUUGAGUUUGUAUCAUUUACGUUUAUAACUGGACUUCACGCAUGUCUCAUUAAUGAAAGGUGCAAUAUUUAGAGAAAUGAAGAAAUCAUGGAGAUAUAUAUAUAUCUAUCAACGGUGGACAAACGACACAGAUGUCGUGCAAUCUUAAUCGUGAAAUUUGUAUCCGUAAAUAUUUGCCAUGUCAACACCUUGAAUUAAAUUUAUUGAAUCUAAUUUCAUAACUGAAAUAUGCAUGUUGCAAAUGAAUGAGAUUUAAUAAUUUAUAUAAAAUGGCAUUGUUAUGUUUCAAUAAAAAUAUUAAGGAA